GGAAUAGUGAGGGGCCUGUCACUAAGAAACCUGUCCCUGAGCAACGCAUAGGAGGGGUGGAACCCAGCAGCGCUGACUGAGCCGCCGCGAAGUGCCGGAACGUAUUACCUGGGAGCCAAAUUUCAGAGCGUCGUUUGUCUUCCCAAGCCCACCAGCUUUCAGCGUUCUCCAGCCUCGCCACACCCCCGCCUCGGGCCGUCCCCGCCCAGACGCUUGUCCCCGCGAGAAGCUGAGCGCACUGAAGUGAGCCCGGCGGCUGCCGCCGGAGGAGGAGCCCGGCUCUGGACACGGCCGUCAGGAAGCUCAGAGGCUGCAGCACCGCUUCUGCGUUGAUUUCCGCUUGACUUUUACUCUUUUCUUGGGUUAAAAAUCAAACGCCGACCCGAGGCGUCAGAGAUGGGCGGUCGUUAGGCGCAGUGGCGGCCCCCGGAUGUUUGCGAUGGGACGGCGGGCUCGGAACGUGUGGACGUGGGCUUUGGAGACAGCGUCUCACCCUGUCGCCCAGGCUGGAGUGCAACGGCACAAUCUCGGCUCACUGCAACCUCCACCUCCAGGGUUCAAGCAAUUCCCCUGCCUCAGCUUCCCAAGUAGCUGGGAUUACAGGCACACACCACCACACCUGGCUAAUUUUUUGCAUCUUUGGUAGAGACGGGGUUUCACCAUGUUGGCCAGGCUGGUCUUGAUCUCCUGACCUCGUGAUCCAUCUGCCUUGGCCUCCCAAAGUACUGGGAUUACAGGCGUUAGCCACCGCGCCCUGCCUCACUAGUCUUUUCAAGAAAGAAGCUUUUAGAUGUGGAUUUAUUAUCUGUUAAUUCUCAUUUUCAUCUUCAUUAUUUCCUUUUUGCUACUUUUAUUUGGAUAUUUUCUAGGAUUCUUCCUAAUCUCUUGGGUUGGAUGCUUAACACUUACAUUUCCAUUGAUCCUGUUUUCCUAAUAGAGGCAUUUGGGGUAAUGCAUUUUCCAGUAAGUGCCACUUUAGAUUAUAUCCCAUUUUGUGUGGUGUCCUAUAUCAGUUAAACCCACCGUAUUCAUUGUAUAAAUCAAAUUUUUCAUAUACUUACUGUAUUAGUCCAUUUUCACGCUGCUGAUAAAGACAUACCCAAGACUGAGUAAUUUAUAAAGUAAAAGAGGUUUAAUGGACUCACAGUUCCAUGUGGCUGGGGAGGCCUCAUAAUCAUGGUGGGUGAAAGGCACUUCUGACAUGCUGGUGGCAAGAGAGAAUCAGAGCACCAAGCAAAAAGGAAACCCCUUGUCAAAUCACCAGAUCUCAUGAGACUUAUUCACUACCAUGAGAACAGUAUCAGGGAAACCACUCCCAAGAUUCAGUUAUCUCCCACUGGGUCCCUCCCACAAUAUGUGGGAAUUGUGGGAGCUGCAAUUCAAGAUGAGAUUUGGGUGGGGACAUAGCCAAAACAAGUUAUCUCCCACCAGGUCCCUCCCACAUGUGGGAAUUAAGGGAGCUGCAAUUCAAGAAGAGAUUUGGGUGGGGACACAGCCAAACCAGAUCACUUACCAAUUAUGUGCUGUCCUGCUCUAUCAAUUCCUAAGAAAAGUGUGCAAAAAUUUCCAAAUGGUAAUGUGGAUUUGUAGUUUAUUCCUCUAAUUGUCCUAUUUUGUAUAAUACAUUCUUUGGUCUAUGUUAAUUUGAAAUUUUGAACAUAGAAUCAUUAUAUCUUCAUAGAAAAUUGUACUUUUAUCCUUAUAUAAUGACCCUUUUUAUUCCUAACGAUGGUUUCCCUAAAGCUUAUGUUACCCAAUUAAUGUUUGCCAGGUAUAUAUUUUUCCACUCAUACUCACUUUUUAUAACAUUUUUAUGCAUUUAUUUUAUAAACAUAUACAUGGAAUAUUUUAAAGCAUAAUGCGACAUUCUGCUUUUAAACCGAUGAGUUUAUAUGAUUUGUGAUUAUUGAUACAGUUGGCUGGGUGCGGUGGCUCACGCCUGUAAUCCCAGCAUUUUGGGAAGCCGAGGUGGGCAGAUUACUAGGUCAGGAGAUCGAGACCAUCCUGGCUAACAUGGUGAACCCCCAUCUCUACUAAAAAUACAAAAAAUUAGCCGGGUGUGGUGGUGGGUGCCUGUAAUCCCAGCUACUCAGGAGGCUGAGGCAGGAGAAUGGCGUGAACCCGUGAGGCAGAGCUUGCAGUGAGCCAAGAUGGCACCACUGCACUCCAGCCUGGGCGACAGAGCGAGACUCCGUCUCAAAAAAAAAAAAAAAAAAAAAAAAGAUUAUUGAUACAGUUAUGUUUAUUUCUAUCAUUUUACUUUUUGCUUUCCAUUGGCCUUGUGUUUUUUGUCCCUUAUUAUUUUCUAUCUUCUUUUGGAUUUAAUCAAGCUUUCUCACUUCCAUUUUCAAUAUCUAUUCUUUAAGUGUUAAUGUUAAGGUGUUUGCUAUGUAUACAAGACUUAACAAAGUCUAAAGGUAAUCACUUAAUCUGCUCUCUCCAUAACCAACAGAGAGGCAUCCCAAUUUUUUUUUUUUUUUUGAGGCAGAGUUUUGCUCUUCUUGCCCAGGCUGGAGUGCGAUGGCGCGAUCUCAACUCACUGCAACCUCUUCCUCCCAGGUUCAAGCAUUUCUCCUGCCUCAGCCUCCUGAGUAGCUGGGAUGACAGGUGCCUGACACCACGCCCAGCUAAUUUUUGUAUUUUUAGUAGAGACUGGGGUUUCUCCAUGUUGGUCGGGCUGGUCUCGAACUCCUGACCUCAGGUGAUCCACCAGCCUCGGCCUCCCAAAGUGCUGGGAUUACAGGUGUGAGCCACCACGCCUGGCUCCAAUUUUUUUUUUUUUUUUUUUGAGACAGAGUUUUCACUCUUGUUGCCCAGGCUGGAAUGCAGUGGCACAGUCUUGGCUCACUACAACUUCCACCUCCCAGGUUCAAGCGAUUCUCCUGCCUCAGCCUCCCAAGUAGCUGGAAUUACACACACCCACCACCACAGCUGGCUAAUUUUUUGUAUUUAGUAGAGAGAGGGUUUCACCAUGUUGGUCUGGCUGGUCUGGAAUUCCUGACCUCAGGUGAUCUGUCUGCCUUGGCCUCCCAAAGUGCUGGGAUUACAGGCGUGAGCCACUGCACCCAGCGUCCCAACAUUUUUAUCUCUGAUCAUCCUGAACACAUACCAUGUUACUCACUGUUUUAGUUCUGCGUUAUUUUUGUUGCAUAACCAGUAACAUAACAUUAUUAUUGUUAGUUUACAUAGCCAAUACUAGUUUAGGUUCACAUGUAUUACCUCUUGGCUUCACCCACUACUUUUCUCUGAUGGCAAUCUUUGGAAGUUCCUUCAUUGAGGGUUUAUUAGUGGUAAACUCUUUAUCUUUGCUGUGGUGCAGUGUCUAGAAUUUUUGUUAAGUGAAGGUUUUACAUUUAAAUCUUCAUCUAUUAAGUUUGAAUAUGGGAUGAGUUAUGGAUUGAGGUUCAUUUGUUUUGUAUAUUGACUUUCAAUUGUUGCAGCACCAUUUUUUUAAACCACUAUUUUCAUUGAUUUGCCCUUGCAACUUUGUCAAAAAUCAAUUGACCAUAUACACGAAGGUCUAUUUAUGUAUUCUCAAUUAUGGUCCAUGAUCUAUGUGUUUAUCCUUUCUCUGACACAAUGUUUAGAUUGCUGUAUCUUUACAGUAAGUUUCGAAGUCAGGGAGUGCGAGUCUUCCAGCUCUGUUCCUCUUUGACAAAAGAUGUUUUGGCUAUUCUAGUUUCUUCUGCUUUUCCAAAUAAAUUUGAUUAACUUGUUAAUGUCUACAAAAACUCCUGCUGGAAUUUCCAUUGGGAUCGCAAUAAAUUUAUAGGUAAAUCUAGAGAGAACUGACAUUCUACUAUUUAUUGUUCCAAACCACAAAUAUGAUACAUAUUUCCAUUUAUUUAGGAUUUGGAUUUCCCUUAUUUCUCUCAUAAGCGUUUUGACGUUUUCAACAUACAGAUCUUUUAUAACAACACUUACCCACUUCCCACCAUUCUACCCCCAUUCCUAAACCUUGGCAACACAAGAAUCUGUCCUCCAUUAAAAAUGUUAUGAUUUCAGAAAUGUUAUAUAAAUGGAAUAAUACAAUAUGCAACCUUAUGGGACUGAUUUCUUGCAUUUGGUGUACUUCUCUAGAGAUUAAUCCAAGUUUUUGUGUGUAUCAGUAGUCCAUUUAUUUUCCUGAAUAGCAUUCCAUAUGUGUGUGCCACAAUUUGUUUAACCAUUUACCUUAUUCUCAGUUUUUGGCUGUUCAAAUAAACUGAUAUUAAUCUGUG